AUUGAACGCUGGCGGCAUGCUUUACACAUGCAAGUCGAACGGCAGCGCGGGCUUCGGCCUGGCGGCGAGUGUCGAACGGGUGAGUAAUACAUCUGAACGUGCCCAGUAGUGGGGGAGAGCUCGGCGAAAGCCGGAGUAGUACCGCAUACGACCUGAGGGUGAAAACGGGGGAGCUUCGGACCUCGCGCUAUUUGAGCGUCCGAUGGCAGAUUAGCUAGUUGGUGGGGUAAAGGCCUACCAAGGCGACGAUCUGUAGCUGGUCUGAGAGGACGACCAGCCACACUGGGACUGAGACACGGCCCAGACUCCUACGGGAGGCAGCAGUGGGGAAUUUUGGACAAUGGGCGAAAGCCUGAUCCAGCAAUGCCGCGUGUGUGAUGAAGGCCUUCGGGUUGUAAAGCACUUUUGGCGGGAAAGAAAAGGACUGUGCCAAUACCACGGUUGGAUGACGGUACCCGAAGAAUAAGCACCGGCUAACUACGUG
rnacentral:rRNA from 1 species